CGGGGUGACCAACUGUCCUGGUUUACCUGAGACAGAGGAGCUUCCCUGAACACAGGAUUUUCAGUGCUAAACCCAGAAUGUCUCAGGCAAACCAGACAUGUUGGUCACCCUAACAAAAC
rnacentral:pre_miRNA from 1 species